UACACUGUAGGAUAGAAUUUUCAGACAUAAUUCUCAAAUCAAGCUCGAUCUGAAGAUCUGACUGAGUGACUCGAUCCAUUUGGAUAAGAGUAUCGUUGAACUUUAAAUCUGAGAGGAGAAAUAAUUAACUGCUCCAGACAGCACUGUGUGCAUGGAAAAUUUCAGACUGAUGAAACUACCUCCUCUAGACCAUCUUAGAGGGAAGUGAGACACUGGUCACUGGUAGCAACUAGAAGGAAAGGAAGUGAAUCCAGGAGUGUGCAGAUUUUGGAGAGAGCUGCUUGAUUCUUUGGGAUCCUGUGAAUCUACAAGUGAAAUGUUUGACAGUUCUGCUUCACAAGUUUUGAAACAUUAUUGUGACCAGAGAAGCAACAUGACCUAUGCAUGACAGUAACAGUGUUCCCAUGCAGAUUCUGUGGAAAGGGCUUUAACCAGCUAAAAGGCCACAACAAACUUCACAUCAUUAACAGUGGGGUGAGACUGUACACAUGUUCUGUAUGUUGAUGAACGGAUUAUUAAUCCAGAAGAAUAAAAGGACAGCUGCAUCAUGAUGAAACCAUGUAAAUGUGGGGACUAUAGGAAGGAUUUCUGUAUCCCACCAGCACUGGAAACACAUCACCGCUGUCACACUGGUGAGAUGCUAUUCAGCUGCUUGGAGUGUGGAAAUGGAUUGACUCCAUCAUCCAACCUGAUGAAACGUCAGCGGGUUCACACUGGGGAGCAGCCGUUCACUUGCUCUGAAUGUGGGAGGGCAUUUGUCCAGCCUGCAGAUUCAUCAGUGAGUUGUCACUGGGGAGAGGCCAUUUCUCUGCCCUGAGUGUGGGAAGAGAUUUACUCAUUUAUCCAAUUUGAUGAGGCAUCAGUGAGUUAGCCACAGGGAAAGGCCUUUGAGCUGCCCCAAGUAUGGGAAGGUACCGUGUGAUUCUUACAGCCUGCGCAUGUACCAGUGAGUUCACACUGGGGAGGAGCCAUUCACCUGCUCUGAGUGUGGGAAGGGAUUCGCUCAGACAUCCAACCUACUGAGACACCAGAAAGUGGAUUCUGCUGCGAAUCGCAUCCAGGACUGAACCACAUUGCCUCUGAUUCUUUUGGAAUUCUUUUUACCAAAAGGUUGAUUUAUCUGUGAUCACAUGGAUCAUCAAUUCAGUGACUACUUUGAAGGUUUCAUAACAUCUUUCCGAUAGGAGGGAGACCAGAACUGCAUGCAAUAUUCCAACAGUGUCCUGUAGAGCCGCAACAUGACCUCCCAACUUCUGUACUCAAUACCAUUAAAGGAUGCUAGAAGGGUAAUGAUUUGCAGACAGAAACCUCAAACAAACACCAUGUGCAGACAGUGACUAAAUUAACCGGGACUUAAAUAACCGUGACUGGAUAAAUGUUUGUCUGUUCCGUCUGCAUCAAAGGUUUUAAACAUCAAUUUAACUGGAAGAGCAGUGAGAUGCUCACCUCAAGUAAGAGUCUUUCAGUGAACUGACUGUGGAAAUAGUUUCAAUCAGUCACACAUCGAGAGUGUGGUGCUGGAAAAGUACAGCAGGUAAGGCAGCAUCUGAGGAGCAGGAGAAUCGAUGUUUUGGGCAAAUGCCCUUCACACAACCUGUAAUACAUAUUUGUUAUGUGUGUGGCUUUAAGUUGAUUGUUGAACUUGCAGGCUCGUCAGAACAUUCUCAAUAUGGAGAAACCGUGAAAGUGUGAAGAAUAUGGGAAGGGAUUCCAUUCCCUGUCAAUACUGGAAUUUCAUCAACACAGUCACACUAGGAAGAGGCCAUUCACCUGUUCAGGCUGUGGAAAGGAAUUUCAUGUAUAAUCUGUGGAAACGCUAGCGUGCUGCCGCUGGAGAUAGGCUGUUCAUCUGCUCUGAGUGUGGGAAAAAAUUCAGUAAAUAUUUCAGUGUUAAAACGUCAGCGGCUCACACUGAUCUACCUGUUUGGACUGUGGAAAGAUAUUCACUCAGUUAUCCAGUCUGCAAAUGCAUCAGUGAGUUCACAGUGGGGAGAGGCAAUUUAAGUACUCCAAGUGUGGGAAGCAAUUUAGAGAUUUAUUUGGUCUACACGAACACCAGUGAGUUCAUACUGGGGAGAGGCCAUUUAUCUGCCCUGACUGUGGGAAGCGCUUCUCACAGUCAUCAAAUCUGAGAAAACAUGAGUGAAUUCACAAGUAAAUACAGAACUUGGGUCAGCUGUUAAUCAGCAACAAGUGCUGACUUGGACAUUGAUACUGUGCCUUGAAUUAAGUUGUCCAAGCCUGAGCCAUUUUCAUUUGGACAGUGAGUGAAGUGAGUGGGUCAGAGGGUUUCUUUCGGCUGGACUGGCCGCUCUCACCACUUUGCUUCCAGUGAGGCUGAUGCCCUUUGAGUCAACGGGUGCACAUUCCCAAGGAAGUGUUCCAUAAAAUCUGUGAAGGAUAAUUAUUUCAUUUUUGGCUGUAAAUGAUGUAUUUCCUUCCACUACAAAAUCUACAAUGACUACAUGUUUCUGCCUCAUUGGUCUAGCCCUGUGCUAUAGAAUUGAUUGACUCAAUUGAUCUCUGUCCAUAUUUACGCUCCACAUGAGCCUCCACCAUUCUCUCUUCAUCUCCCCCUUCAGCAUAUCCUUCUAUUCCUUUCUCCGUCAUGUAUGUAUCCAGCUUCUCCUUAAAUAUAUUCCUGCUGUCCACCUCAACCACUUGCUGUCCCUUUAUUCUUGAUUCAUUCAUAGGAUGAGGACAUCACUGGUUAAGCACCUUUAUCACCUAUCCCUCAUCGUCUAGAGGGGUUAAGAGUCAACACGUUACUAUGGCCUAGUCACAUGUUGGCCAGACAAGGAUAGUAAUUUCCUCCCCUAAAGGGCAUUCAUGAACUGAAUGGGUUUUUCCAACAAUCAGCUCUUAAAACUGGACUUUUUAUUGAAUUCAAAUCCCUCCAUCUACCAUGACAGGAUUCGAGCCUAGGUACCCAGAACAUUACCUGGGUCUCAGGAUGAACAGGCCAGUGAUAAUGCCACUAGGCCUCCACUGUGGGAGAGAGUUCCACAUUCUCACCUGUCGCUGAGUUAAAGAGGUUCCUCUUGUAUUCACUAAUGGACUUUAAAGCCCUUCAUCACCUUGAAGACAUCCGUCAGGUCACCUUUUGGACCAUUUUUUCAAAAGAAAAACUUCCUGGUCUUUCCUGAGAGUUAAAUGCUCUCAGUUUUGGUGUUCUCCAUGUGCUUCUGAGUGACACCUUCCCCAGUGACUCUUUCCUUUUUCAAAAUGGAAAUGAUAAAUGGUAAAAGUGUUGCCAAUGGCAACUAACCACAAUUCGAAGUAAUUUGAACAUUAUCUCCCCAUUUUUCAAUUCUAUCCCACUUGGUAACACUAAGCAGACACAGUGACAACAGAUGAAUGGACACCACACAACCAUCACCAGACAGGGGUAUUCCCUCCCAGUUGGGGUAUACUUCAGCGGUCAGGGAUAUUCAGCCUCGGAUCUUCAGGUGACCAUCCUCCAAGACAGACUUCGGGACAGACAACAAUGCAAAGUAGCUGAGCAGAGGUUGAUAGCCAAGUUCGGUACCCAUGAGAAUGGCUGCAACUGAGACUUUGGAUUCAUGUCAGCCUCUCUCCCCCUCUCCCCUGUAUGCGCACACACGUUUAAGUCUGUGUGAUGAAUUUGUAUUUGCAAAAUGAUAUUUACAGAUACGUUCUAUUUUGCUCAAAAAGUACACAAAUUGCGGGCAGUCAUUUCAGACGGUCAAUUCAUAUAAUAUUUUGUAAAUUCCACUUUGGAAGUAGACCCAGUCUGAGUCACGAUUGGGAUAUAGACAAACUCUGACCUUACACCUUUAAGGUAUUGUCUGAGCUGAAAUGUCACCUUGUUUUGUAAAACCUUAAUUUACGUUGAGAAUGUGACUUUAAAAGAAGUUUUGGGAUUUACACAUUAAUAAAC